GACGAACUGUCCAAACGUUGUUCGGAAUCACUGGGCUUAAAGGGCGCGUAGGCGGUCGACCAAGUCAGGGGUGAAAUCCUGCAGCUUAACUGUAGAAGUGCCUUUGAUACUGGUCGUCUCGAGGGAGGUAGGGGUGUGUGGAACUUCCAGUGGAGCGGUGAAAUGCGUUGAUAUUGGAAGGAACGCCGGAGGCGAAAGCGACGCACUGGACCUCAUCUGACGCUGAGGCGCGAAAGCUAGGGGAGCAAACGGG
rnacentral:rRNA from 1 species